rnacentral:rRNA from 1 species
GAUGAACGCUGGCGGCGUGCCUAAUACAUGCAAGUCGAGCGAACGGACGCGAAGCUUGCUUCUCUGAUGUUAGCGGCGGACGGGUUAGUAACACGUGGAUAACCUACCUAUAAGACUGGGAUAACUUCGGGAAACCGGAGCUAAUACCGGAUAAUAUUUUGAACCGCAUGGUUCAAAAGUGAAAGACGGUCUUGCUGUCACUUAUAGAUGGAUCCGCGCUGCAUUAGCUAGUUGGUAAGGCAACGGCUUACCAAGGCGACGAUGCAUAGCCGACCUGAGAGGGUGAUCGGCCACACUGGAACUGAGACACGGUCCAGACUCCUACGGGAGGCAGCAGUAGGGAAUCUUCCGCAAUGGGCGAAAGCCUGACGGAGCAACGCCGCGUGAGUGAUGAAGGUCUUCGGGUCGUAAAACUCUGUUAUUAGGGAAGAACAGAUGUGUAAGUAAAUAUGCACAUCAUGACGGUACCUAAUCAGAAAGCAACGGCUAACUACGUG